GCAUGGUAGCCAAGUGGGUAAAGCGCUUAUAGCUAUCCAUUCGGUACCGAAGGUCGGUGGUUCGAUUCCACCCUGGAGCA